rnacentral:rRNA from 1 species
UACGAAGGGAGCUAGCGUUGUUCGGAAUCACUGGGCGUAAAGCGCACGUAGGCGGAUUUGUCAGUCAGGGGUGAAAUCCCGGGGCUCAACCUCGGAACUGCCUUUGAUACAGCAAGUCUUGAGUUCGAGAGAGGUGGGUGGAAUUCCUUGUGUAGAGGUGAAAUUCGUAGAUAUUAGGAAGAACACCGGUGGCGAAGGCGGCCCACUGGCUCGAUACUGACGCUGAGGUGCGAAAGCGUGGGGAGCAAACAGG